CCUACGGGAGGCAGCAGUGGGGAAUAUUGCACAAUGGGGGAAACCCUGAUGCAGCGACGCCGCGUGAGUGAAGAAGUAUCUCGGUAUGGAAAGCUCUAUCAGCAGGGGAGAAAAUGACGGUGCCUGUUGAAGUAGCCCCGGCUAACUACGUGCCAGCAGCCGCGGUAAUACGUAGGGGGCAAGCGUUAUCCGGAAUUACUGGGUGUAAAGGGAGCGUAGACGGCAGCACAAGUCUGGAGUGAAAUGCCCGGGCUUAACCCCGGAACUGCUUUUGAAACUGGGCAGCUAGAGUGCAGGAGAGGUAAGUGGAAUUCCUAGUGUAGCGGUGAAAUGCGUAGAUAUUAGGAGGAACACCAGUGGCGAAGGCGGCUUACUGGACUGUAACUGACGUUGAGGCUCGAAAGCGUGGGGAGCAAACAGGAUUAGAUACCCGGGUAGUC
rnacentral:rRNA from 1 species